GAAAGGGAGGAGGAGAAACAAAWGAGGAAAGGAGGAGGAGGUGGAGGAGGAGGAGGGAAAAAAUCAAUUUUCCCAGACAGAAGCAGGCUGGUCUAAUGGAGGUCUGAAAGAGGACGAGGAGGAGAAGACAUAUUUUCCUCUGAUUACCUCCUGUAGCCUCUCUGACGAACCUUCAAAGCUGCGGCCUCCACUCCUACGACCUUUUUGUUAUGGCCUCUGACAGGCUGAAAUAUCCAAUUUCCAGCAGCAGGCAUCAUUAUUAUGAAUUMGUUAGCUUCACAUUUCUUCCCAGAGUACAAAAGCAAAACGGUGCAGGAGACCGAUGGGGUUAAUGGAACCAAAGUCCACAAAAUCACAAUCAGUUUGUACACAAAGGCCGUCCAACCACCUCUGUCUGGAAGCUAUUUAACAUCUGUGUGCUCAGUUACCUGUUAAUAAAACACAAUUAACUUUUA